rnacentral:rRNA from 1 species
CCCGGUGUAGCGGUGAAAUGCGUAGAGAUCGGGAGGAACACCAGUGGCGAAGGCGGGUAACUGGACUGCAACUGACGCUGAGGCGCGAAAGUGUGGGGAGCAAACAGGAUUAGAUACCCUGGUAGUCCACACUGUAAACGAUGAAUGCUAGGUGUAGGGGGUAUCGACCCCUUCUGUGCCGGAGUAAACACAAUAAGCAUUCCGCCUGGGGAGUACGGUCGCAAGAUUAAAACUCAAAGGAAUUGACGGGGGCCCGCACAAGCAGCGGAGCAUGUGGUUUAAUUCGAAGCAACGCGAAGAACCUUACCAGGUCUUGACAUCCAGGUAAAGCUUAAGAGAUUAGGUGUGCCUUUGGGCAAUCUGAGACAGGUGGUGCAUGGUUGUCGUCAGCUCGUGUCGUGAGAUGUUGGGUUAAGUCCCGCAACGAGCGCAACCCUUGCUGAUAGUUACUAACGCGUAGAGGCGAGGACUCUAUCGGGACCGCCGGGGACAACUCGGAGGAAGGUGGGGACGACGUCAAAUCAUCAUGCCCCUUAUGACCUGGGCUACACACGUGCUACAAUGGCCGAGUCAGAGAGGAGCGAAGGCGCGAGCCGGAGCGGAUCUCAAAAAGGCGGCCACAGUUCGGAUUGUGGGCUGCAACCCGCCCACAUGAAGCCGGAGUUGCUAGUAAUCGCGAAUCAGCAUGUCGCGGUGAAUACGUUCCCGGGCCUUGUACACACCGCCCGUCACACCAUGGGAGUUGGGAGCACCCGAAGGCAGAGAGGUAACCGCGAGGAGCCAUCUGACGAAGGUGAGAUCAAUGACUGGGGUGAAGUCGUAACAAGGUAACCGUA